rnacentral:rRNA from 1 species
UACAGAGGUCUCAAGCGUUGUUCGGAUUCAUUGGGCGUAAAGGGUGCGUAGGUGGCGGGGUAAGUCAGGUGUGAAAAUCUCGGGGCUCAACCCCCGAAACUGCACUUGAUACUGCCUUGCUCGAGUACUGGAGAGGAGAUUGGAAUUUACGGUGUAGCAGUGAAAUGCGUAGAUAUCGUAAGGAAGACCAGUGGCGAAGGCGAAUCUCUGGACAGUUACUGACACUGAGGCACGAAGGCCAGGGGAGCAAACGGG